rnacentral:rRNA from 1 species
CAGCCGCCGCGGUAAUACGUAGGUGGCAAGCGUUGUCCGGAAUUAUUGGGCGUAAAGGGCUCGCAGGCGGUUUCUUAAGUCUGAUGUGAAAGCCCCCGGCUCAACCGGGGAGGGUCAUUGGAAACCGGGAAACUUGAGUGCAGAAGAGGAGAGUGGAAUUCCACGUGUAGCGGUGAAAUGCGUAGAGAUGUGGAGGAACACCAGUGGCGAAGGCGACUCUCUGGUCUGUAACUGACGCUGAGGAGCGAAAGCGUGGGGAGCGAACAGGAUUAGAGACCCCCGUAGUCCCUGUCUCUUAUAC